rnacentral:rRNA from 1 species
UGGGGAAUAUCGCACAAUGGAGGGAACUCUGAUGCAGCGACGCCGCGUGAACGAAGAAGGCUUUCGAGUCGUAAAGUUCUUUUAUAUGGGAAGAUAAUGACGGUACCAUAAGAAAAAGCCCCGGCUAACUACGUGCCAGCAGCCGCGGUAAUACGUAGGGGGCUAGCGUUGUCCGGAAUCACUGGGCGUAAAGGGUUCGCAGGCGGAAAUGCAAGUCAGGUGUAAAAGGCAGUAGCUUAACUACUGUAAGCAUUUGAAACUGCAUAUCUUGAGAAGAGUAGAGGUAAGUGGAAUUUUUAGUGUAGCGGUGAAAUGCGUAGAUAUUAAAAAGAAUACCGGUGGCGAAGGCGGCUUACUGGGCUCAUUCUGACGCUGAGGAACGAAAGCGUGGGUAGCAAACAGG